AAAGCGUGCGCAGGCGGUUUUGUAAGUCUGUCGUGAAAUCCCCGGGCUCAACCUGGGAAUGGCGAUGGAGACUGCAAGGCUAGAGUUUGGCAGAGGGGGGUAGAAUUCCACGUGUAGCAGUGAAAUGCGUAGAUAUGUGGAGGAACACCGAUGGCGAAGGCAGCCCCCUGGGUCAAAACUGACGCUCAUGCACGAAAGCGUGGGGAGCAAACAGGAUUAGAUACCCCUGU
rnacentral:rRNA from 1 species